rnacentral:rRNA from 1 species
GGAUGCGAUCAUACCAGCACUAAAGCACCGGAUCCCAUCAGAACUCCAAAGUUAAGCGUUCUUGGGCGAGAGUAGUACUAGGAUGGGUGACCUCUUGGGAAGUCCUCGUGUUCCAUUCC